rnacentral:rRNA from 1 species
AUUGAACGCUGGCGGCAGGCCUAACACAUGCAAGUCGAACGAGUGGCGGACGGGUGAGUAAUGUCUGGGAAACUGCCUGAUGGAGGGGGAUAACUACUGGAAACGGUAGCUAAUACCGCAUACCAUCGGAUGUGCCCAGAUGGGAUUAGCUAGUAGGUGGGGUAAAGGCUCACCUAGGCGACGAUCCCUAGCUGGUCUGAGAGGAUGACCAGCCACACUGGAAAUGAGACACGGUCCAGACUCCUACGGGAGGCAGCAGUGGGGAAGAUGGAACAAUGGGCGAAAGCCUGAUGCAGCCCUGCCGCGUGGAUGAAGAAGGACUUCGGUUUUCAAAGUACGUUCAGCGGGGAGGCGUUACCCUUAGAAGAAGCCCCGGCUAACUCCGUGCCAGCCGCCGCGGUAAUUC